CCACAGCCGACAUUCAUGCCCAACAUGUACUCACAUUUCGCAUUUCGAAGGGAGCGGAGGAGCAGCCCUCGCAGAGCCUAGGUUGAGCCAGGUUUUGGAAGGUAGCAAAGUGAAAUUGCUGAACGGACUCUUCCUCAAAGGGCCCUACGCGAAGUCUACCUUUCAAAUGGCAACACUGGCACCUCCAUAGCCAGAGGCCAUUUACUUUUGCAGUCAAUAGCAUAGCUGACAGAUGUUUAGUUGGAGAAUGUUUUUCCUGGAGUGUUUCCCAAUCAGGCUGGAAGGAAACGGAAAAAUAAAAGGAUUUGAAGAAUGGAAAUCGAAAAAGAAAAGGAAACCUGAAAUGGAAACCAGGAAAAAAAACCUGGCGGGAUGUUGUACUCGGUAGAGCAGUUACCACGCUGCGAUCUGUUGAGACUCAGCCCUUGGCUUGGGGAUUCGUCUU